CCUACGGGAGACAGCAGUAGGGAAUCUUGCUCAAUGGGCGAAAGCCUGAAGCAGCAACGCCGCGUGGAGGAUGAAGGUUUUCGGAUUGUAAAGCCCUUUUGUUAGAGAAGAUAAUGACGGUAUGUAACGAAUAAGCCCCGGCCAACUUCGUGCCAGCAGCCGCGGUAAUACGGAGGGUGCAAGCGUUACUCGGAAUCACUGGGCGUAACGGGCGCGUAGGCGGGUUAGCAAGUCAGAUGUGAAAUCCUAUGGCUUAACCAUAGAACUGCAUUUGAAACUGUUAUUCUAGAGUAUGGGAGAGGUAGGUGGAAUUCUUGGUGUAGGGGUGAAAUGCGUAGAGAUCAAGAAGAAUACUCAUGGCGAAGGCGACCGGCUAGAACAUAACUGACGCUGAUGCGCGAAAGCGUGGGGAGCAAACAGGAUUAGAUACCCGAGUAGUC
rnacentral:rRNA from 1 species